GUGAAGUGCUGGUAAAUGUUGAACGAUGGGCUGAGAGUGGAGCAGAGCCCUGACUGGCAGCGUUUGUCAGCUUCCAUGCUGUAAAAUCCUCCCACGAUAGCUGAUUUCAAGCUACCAACAUAAUAUCAACCAGCUCGCACAAUUCCAGAAAUAUAACAACUGGCUCUUGGGAACCACUAUGAGCUGGCUCUGGCACACUCCUGAAUGGAGACCCAAUGCCGGGAAAUGGAUGGAACCACAUACGCAAGAUGUGGGACUGGACUCUGCUGUCUAGGGACUGGCCUCAAAAUGAACCGACUUCUUUAGAACCACAGUGCCCCACCGGUGUCGGUACUGCCAGAGAUGCCCCUUAGAUAUCAG
rnacentral:lncRNA from 1 species